CUGAUUCCGAUAAAUCAUUAAAUUGCACUGAUAAGUGACGCUUGAAGUUCGAUGAUAUAUUGCCGCGAGUCUAAGAAAAAUUAUCGGCCGCCUGAAACAAUAAGCAACGAAACGGUGAAUGUUGACUGAGAGAGAGGAAUACGUGUUUAUUCGGCCAAAGGAAGCAGCGCACUAAGUUCUCAGACGGACGGGAUAGUUUACCAAGUUAGGCGAACGAUCGUACGCGGCAGCGUGAGCGUCCACGUAGUCCACGCUCAAUCAUCGUCGACACUCGGAGCACCAACAGGGGAGUGUAAAUGUACAAUGAUAUUUACAUUAGUGGUUAUUGAGCAUAAAAGGCGAUACAUAAACGCGAUACCGCACGGUGACUAAAACACUCGAUCUUAUCAAGAGCGAUAAAAAAAACCUUGCAGAGAUACGCCCGGCGUAUACAUUGAGCCCAGAUAUCACUCAGUAGAAUUCACUUCGCGAUUGAGCGAGUUAAUCAAUUCAGGAAACGGCGGAAACAACCGCAGAAACACUUACGUUUCUUCUCGCGAAAGAAUUAAUCGAGGAGAGACGAUGAGCGGAAUCAUGCAAGCAAGAGUUCCUUCCUUUUCUUUUCUAUACGCAAUAUUUUUAUAUUUACAAAUAAUUCUAUUUUUUAUAUUACGCGUAUCUGUUACCUUUAUAUACAAAAAGGAUAUAGUUUUUUUUUUAAAUUAUAGUCAAUCAUGGUCAUAGAAAAAGUUUCAUUGCACAUAGGUGUACGGAGAGAGAAUCCGAAGGCGUUUCGAGGUUUGAUUACAAACGCUUGCGGGGGUACGUUGAGCUCUGUAACUGAAGCAAUUUUACAAAUUAUGAUGUAGUAGUAUUUUUCAUGUUAUUAAAACAAGGAGAUUAUUGUAUAACAAUA